GAUCAAUAAAUAAAACUUUAUUGACGAGAGAGGGGCGGGGCCAGCUCGGCUCCGCCCACUUCCCAGGGCCUCAGUCUGGGGGGAAUUCACAGCAUUUUGGUUUAAAAAAACCCAAACUGGCCCAGGGGUUACUUGGAGCGCCCGGACAGCCGUGAGCAAACACGGACAGCUGUGCACAGGUGUGUCUGCAGCUGUAGCCAGAUGUGCACAGCCCUGUCCAGGUGUGUCUGCAGCCACAGCUGGGUGUGCACAGUCCUGUCCAGGUACGUCCAGGUGUGCACAGGUGUGUCUGCAGCCAUGUCCAGGUGUGCACAGCUGUGUCCAGGUGUGCACAGGUGUGUCUGCAGCCAUGUCCAGGUGUGCACAGCCCUGUCCAGGUGUGUCUGCAGCUGUAGCCAGAUGUGCACAGCCCUGUCCAGGUGUUUCUGCAGCCAGAGCUGGGUGUGCACAGUCCUGUCCAGGUACGUCCAGGUGUGCACAGGUGUGUCUGCAGCCAUGUCCAGGUGUGCACAGUCCUGUCCAGGUGUGCACAGGUGUGUCUGCAGCCCUGUCCAGGUGUGCACAGGUGUGUCUGCAGCCAUGUCCAGGUGUGCACAGUCCUGUCCAGGUGUGCACAGGUGUGUCUGCAGCCAUGUCCAGGUGUGCACAGCCCUGUCCAGGUGUGCACAGGUGUGUCUGCAGCCAUGUCCAGGUGUGCCUGGGAGCUCCCAGGUGUGUCAACAGCCACGUCCGAGUGUGCA